AUUGAACGCUGGCGGAAUGCUUUACACAUGCAAGUCGAACGGCAGCACGGGAGCUUGCUCCUGGUGGCGAGUGGCGAACGGGUGAGUAAUGCGUCGGAACGUACCGAGUAAUGGGGGAUAACGCAGCGAAAGCUGUGCUAAUACCGCAUACGCCCUGAGGGGGAAAGUGGGGGAUCGCAAGACCUCACGUUAUUCGAGCGGCCGACGUCUGAUUAGCUAGUUGGUGGGGUAAAGGCCUACCAAGGCGACGAUCAGUAGCGGGUCUGAGAGGAUGAUCCGCCACACUGGAACUGAGACACGGUCCAGACUCCUACGGGAGGCAGCAGUGGGGAAUUUUGGACAAUGGGGGCAACCCUGAUCCAGCCAUUCCGCGUGAGUGAAGAAGGCCUUCGGGUUGUAAAGCUC
rnacentral:rRNA from 1 species